rnacentral:rRNA from 1 species
GACGAACGCUGGCGGCGUGCUUAACACAUGCAAGUCGAACGGAAAGGCCCUGCUUUUGUGGGGUGCUCGAGUGGCGAACGGGUGAGUAACACGUGAGUAACCUGCCCUUGACUUUGGGAUAACUUCAGGAAACUGGGGCUAAUACCGGAUAGGAGCUCCUGCUGCAUGGUGGGGGUUGGAAAGUUUCGGCGGUUGGGGAUGGACUCGCGGCUUAUCAGCUUGUUGGUGGGGUAGUGGCUUACCCAGGCUUUGAAGGGUAGCCGGCCUGAGAGGGUGACCGGCCACAAUGGGACUGAGAUACGGCGCAGACGCCUACGGGAGGCAGCAGUGGGGAAUAUUGCACAGUGGGCGGAAGCCUGAUGCAGAAACGCCGCGUGCGGGAUGACGGCUUUCGGGUUGUAAACCGCUUUCGCCUGUGACGAAGCGGGAGUGACGGUAAUGGGUAAAGAAGCACCGGCUAACUACGUG